rnacentral:rRNA from 1 species
GACGAACGCUGGCGGCGUGCCUAACACAUGCAAGUCGAACGGAAAGGCCCGGCUUUUGUGGGCUGCUCGAGUGGCGAAGGGGGGAGUAACACGUGAGUAACCUGUCCUUGACUUUGGGAUAACUUCAGGAAACUGGGGCUAAUACCGGAUAGGAUCUCCUGCUGCAUGGUGGGGGUUGGAAAGUUUCGGCGGUUGGGGAGGGAAUGGCGGCUUAUCGGCUGGUUGGUGGGGUAGUGGCGGACCAAGUCUUGGACGGGUAGCCGGCCUGGGAGGGUAGACGGCCCCAUUACGCCUGCGGUACGGCCCAGACUCGUAUCUGACGCAACGGUGGAGAAUCUUACACAGUGCGCGGAAGCCUGUUCUGACGCCGCCGCGUUCGGGAUGACAUCCUUCGGGUUGUGAACCGCUUUCGCCUUUGCCGAGGCGUUAGUGACGGUAAUGGGUGAAGAAGCACCGGCUAACUACGUG